UACGGAGGGUGGCGAGCGUUGUCCGGAAUCAUUGGGCGUAAAGGGCGCGUAGGUGGCCCGGUCAGUUCGUGGUGAAAGCGCGGGGCUCAACCCUGCGUCGGCCAUGAAUACUGCCGCGGCUGGAGCACUGUAGAGGCAGGCGGAAUUCCGGGUGUAGCGGUGGAAUGCGUAGAGAUCCGGAAGAACACCGGUGGCGAAGGCGGCCUGCUGGGCAGUGCUGACACUUGAGGCACGAAGGCCAGGGAGACAA
rnacentral:rRNA from 1 species